GACGAACGCUGGCGGCGUGGAUUAGGCAUGCAAGUCGAACGGUAGGAUACCUUCGGGUAUCUGAGAGUGGCGAACGGGUGAGUAACACGUAGGUUAUCUACCCUCAAGACGGGGACAACCCAGGGAAACUUGGGCUAAUACCGGAUGUGAGCAACUUUUAGUUGUUUGAAAGGUGGCGUAAGCUGUCGCUUGGGGAUGAGCCUGCGUCCUAUUAGUUAGUUGGUGAGGUAACGGCUCACCUAGGCAAUGAUAGGUAGGCGGCCUUAACGGGUGGUCGCCCACACUGGGAUUGAGAUACGGCCCAGACUCCUACGGGAGGCAGCAGUCGAGAAUAGUCUACAAUGGUCGGAAGACUGAUAGUGCGACGCCGCGUGAACGAUGAAUCCCUUCGGGGUGUAAAGUUCUUUUAUAUGUGAGCAGUGCUUCUUAUAUUAACAGUAUGGGGAGAGAGAUAUUAGCAUAUGAAUAAGCAACGGCUAACUCCGUGCCAGCAGCCGCGGUAAAACGU
rnacentral:rRNA from 1 species